UACGGGGGGGGCAAGCGUUGUUCGGAAUUACUGGGCGUAAAGGGCUCGUAGGCGGCCAACUAAGUCGGAUGUGAAAUCCCCAGGCUCAACUUGGGAACUGCAUCCGAUACUGGAUGGCUUGAAUCCGGGAGAGGGAUGCAGAAUUCCAGGUGUAGCGGUGAAAUGCGUAGAUAUCUGGAGGAGCACCGGUGGCGAAGGCGGCAUCCUGGACCGAGACUGGCGCUGAGGAGCGAAAGCCAGGGGAGCAAACGGG
rnacentral:rRNA from 1 species